CGCCUGUUUAUCAAAAACAUGUCCUUUUGAAUUUUAUUUAAGGUCUGACCUGCCCACUGAUUUAUUUAAUGGCCGCGGUAUUUUGACCGUGCAAAGGUAGCAUAAUAAUUUGUCUUUUAAUUGAAGGCUUGAAUGAAUGGUUGGACGAGAAAAUUACUUUCUUUAUAAUAAAAUAAUUAAUUUUAUUUUUUAGUUAAAAAGCUAAAAUUCUGUUGUAGGACGAGAAGACCCUAUAGAACUUUAUAUUUAUUUAUAUAUUAAUAUUUUUUGAUAAUAAUAUAUUGUAUGUUUAUAAAUAUUUUGUUGGGGCGACAAGAAAAUUUAUUUAACUUUUUUAAAUUAAUUUCAUUAAUUAAUGUAUAUAUGAUCCUAUAUUAUGGAUAGUUAGAAUAAGUUACCUUAGGGAUAACAGCGUAAUUUUUUUGGAGAGUUCUUAUCGAUAAAAAAGUUUGCGACCUCGAUGUUGAAUUAAGAUUAGAUAGGGGGGUAGAAUUUCCUAAUUCUAGGUCUGUUCGACCUUUAAAUUCUUACAUGAUCUGAGUUCAAACCGGAG
rnacentral:rRNA from 1 species